AACACGUAUGCAACCUACCCUGUACAGGGGGAUAACCCGGAGAAAUUCGGACUAAUAUCCCAUAAAGAUAUUUGAGGGCAUCCUUGGAUAUUUAAAGCUCAGGCGGUACGGGAUGGGCAUGCGGAACAUUAGCUAGUUGGCAGGGUAACGGCCUACCAAGGCAACGAUGUUUAGGGGACCUGAGAGGGUGAUCCCCCACACUGGUACUGAGACACGGACCAGACUCCUACGGGAGGCAGCAGUGAGGAAUAUUGGUCAAUGGGCGCAAGCCUGAACCAGCCAUCCCGCGUGCAGGAAGACGGCCCUAUGGGUUGUAAACUGCUUUUCCAGGGGGAGAAUUUUUCUGUCGUGACAGGAAUUGACGGUACCCUGGGAAUAAGCAUCGGCUAACUCCGUGCCAGCAGCCGCGGUAAUACGGAGGAUGCGAGCGUUAUCCGGAUUUAUUGGGUUUAAAGGGUGCGUAGGCGGAUUGAUAAGUCAGUGGUGAAAACCUGCAGCUUAACUGUAGACUUGCCGUUGAUACUGUCAGUCUUGAGUGUGGUCAAGGUAGGCGGAAUGUGUAAUGUAGCGGUGAAAUGCUUAGAUAUUACACAGAACACCGAUUGCGAAGGCAGCUUACUGGGCCAUUACUGACGCUGAUGCACGAAAGC
rnacentral:rRNA from 1 species